rnacentral:rRNA from 2 species
UAGGGAAUCUUCGGCAAUGGACGAAAGUCUGACCGAGCAACGCCGCGUGAGUGAAGAAGGUUUUCGGAUCGUAAAACUCUGUUGUUAGAGAAGAACAAGGACGUUAGUAACUGAACGUCCCCUGACGGUAUCUAACCAGAAAGCCACGGCUAACUACGUGCCAGCAGCCGCGGUAAUACGUAGGUGGCAAGCGUUGUCCGGAUUUAUUGGGCGUAAAGCGAGCGCAGGCGGUUUCUUAAGUCUGAUGUGAAAGCCCCCGGCGCAACCGGGGAGGGUCAUUGGAAACUGGGAGACUUGAGUGCAGAAGAGGAGAGUGGAAUUCCAUGUGUAGCGGUGAAAUGCGUAGAUAUAUGGAGGAACACCAGUGGCGAAGGCGGCUCUCUGGUCUGUAACUGACGCUGAGGCUCGAAAGCGUGGGGAGCAAACAGG